AUAAAUGCAGUGAAGGUGUCAGUAGAACCUUAUUUUCUUCCAGAGAGAGGGAGUCACCGGCUGAAAGCCCCCUUAAGUUCAGAUAAGUGUUUGAAUUUCCCACUGAAGCAGCAUGACAGAAACCGUCCUAUGAAGCGGCGGCGGGUAGGUCAUGACGUUCAUACACGUUACGUAUGCCGAGUGCCUGCGCGUUCUGUGCGGGAAUCAGGGUGGUACCGCGAACUUCAGCUUCGUCCCUAGC
rnacentral:ncRNA from 1 species